rnacentral:lncRNA from 1 species
UCCUUUUGUUGACUCAGUAGUAUUCCAUUGCAUAGAUACAUUACAUUUUGUUUGUCCAUUCAUCAGUUGAUGAACAUUUGAGUAAUUUCCACUUUUUGGUUAUUAUGAAUAUUGCUGCUAUGAACAUUUGUAUCAGGUUUUUGUGAGCAUCUGUUUUCAGUUCUCUUGGAUAUAUGCUAGGAGGGAAUUGCUAGUAUAUUAAUGAUUUUUAACUUUUUAUGGUACCACCAAACUGUCUUCCACAGCAGCUGCACCAUUUUACAUUCAAACUAGCAGCGAAUGAAGGUUUGGAUUUUUCCACAUCUUUGUCAACACUUGUCUGUCGUUUUUAUUUUGGUCAUCUUAUUAGGGAUGUGGUGGUAUCUCAUCAUGGUUUUGAUUUGCAUUUCCCUAAUGGCAAUGAUGCUGAUCAUCCUGUCAUGUGCUUAUCAGCCACUUGUAUAUCUUCUUUGGAGAUAUGUCUAUCCAUAUCCUUCACUCAUUUUUAAACUGGGUUACUUGUCUUAUUAUUGUUAUGAGUUGUGUGAGUUGUAAAGGUUAUUUAUAUAUUCUGGUUACAAGUCUUUUGUCAGAUAAAUUAUUUGCAAAUAUUUUCUCCCAUCCUGUAAAUUGUCUUGUUAUUUUCUUCAUGGUGUCCUUUGAGGCACAAAAGUUUAAUGUUGGUGUAAUCCAAUUUAUCUACUUUUUCUUUAGUUGAUUGUGCUUUCAGUGUCACAUCUAAGAAACCAUAGCUUAAUCCAAGAUCACAGGGAUUUACUCCUAUGCUUUCUUAUAACAGCUUUAUAGUUUAACCCUUACAUUUAGAUGUAUGAAUCACUUUGACUUAAUUUAUUCUCAUAUAUUGUGUGAGGUAGGAGUCCAACUUCAUUCUUUUACAUGUGCAUACCAAAUUGUCCCAGCACCAUUUAUUGAAAACAUAAUAUAGUUUUACGACAAACUUUGAUUACAUCACUAUUUAGUAUUUACACUAUUAUGGUAAAUGUGUUCUCUGCUGAGCCAAGCAGUAUAUAGUUACUGUUUCCUUUCUUGUUAAAAAAAAAAAAAAAAAAAAAGCCCUUGUUUUUCCAAGAGUUAACAGUAGCCUCGUUUUUAUUGUUGCCAUUUCUUUAAUUUCAUUGAAUUUAUAUUUAUUUCUUUCCACACCUUCCAAUAGCCCCUCUUUCCGCAAGACCAAACCUAUCAGCUAAUUAAUCUAUCACUUCCCAUUUUUUUUCUGGAGACAUCCCUUUGGGGCAUCUGUUUCUGUGCACCAGUCUACAUUUCUUGUUCCUAAAAAUAAUUCCUACCCAAACCUUCUGCCGAACACUGAAUGCUUAAACACAUAAUCUUCCUCCUGCUUUUUUUUUUUUUGAGACAGAGUCUCGCUCUGUUGCCCAGGCUGGAGUACAGUGGCGCGAUCUCGGCUCCGCCUCCCGGGUUCACGCCAUUCUCCUGCCUCAGCCUCCCAAGUAGCUGGGACUACAGGCGCCAGCCACCGCGCCUGGCUAAUUUUUGUAUUUUAGUAGAGACGGGGUUUCACCGUGUUAGCCAGGAUAAUCUCGAUCUCCUGACCCCGUGAUCCACCCACCUCGGCCUCCCAAAGUGCUGGGAUUACAGGUGUGAGUCAGCGCUCCCAGCCUUUUUUUUUUUUUUUUUUUUUUUUUCUGACAUGCUCCUUGAGCCCUCAGCACUCUUGCUCCUGUCUAUUUUGGCUAGGAAAUCUCUUUAGUGAGUCCUGAGAACUACCAUUGCCUUUCUCUUUUGUUGGUUCCUCUGCUUCCUGAAUCCCAUUUUCUCCUGUUUUAAUUUACUUCCUAAUUAGACGGGCUAUAGACUCCAGAAGCUUCCUUAAAAAAUGCAUGGGAAACAAAUUAUUUUUUAUCUUUACGUGAUUCUUUGUUUUUAACCUUAUAUAAAUAGCUUGGCUGGGAUUUGAAUUCAAGUUUAGAAAUCCUCCUCAAUCAGCACUUUGAAGGCAUUCCUCCACUGUCUUCUGGCCUUCACUGCUGCUUUUGAGAAGUCUAUGCCAUUCUAAUAUGGCAUCUCAAUCCUUAGUAUCUGCCUCAUUUCAUCUUUCCAGAAGUUUUUAUGACUUUCUUUUUUUCUAUUUGAUAUUUUGAACUUUCAUUAUAAUAUGUAUUGUUCUAAACUUGGUGUGUAUUGUACUGAAUACUUAAUGAAUCCUUUCAUUCAGAGCACUAAAUUGUUUUGGUUUGAGGAAAUUUCCUAAUAUUGCUUCCCUGAUAAUUUCUUCCUUACUCUUUUCUCUUCAUAGAAUUCCUAUUAUACAGAUGUUCCACUUCCUGGAUGAUCUUUUACAUUUCUUACUUUUUCUCUUCUUGUCCAUCUUUAUCUCUUCAUUUUCCUUUUAGAGGGAUAUCUUAACUUUAUCUUACAAACUUCUCACUGACAUUAAAAAAAAAUUUAAACUAUUUUUUAAUUUCCCAGAAGCGAAGUCUUUCUUGUUUUCUGACUAUACGUGUUUUUUAAAAUUAAAUUUCUGUUCUUGUUUUGUGGAUACAAUAUCUUUUCUCAUCUCUCUGGGGAUAUUAACAUUAACUCAUGUUAAAAUUGACUCAUUUCCUCAUUUCCUCUAGCCUCUAAGGUUGGAAUUACUUCUGUAAUAUAGCUGGCCCCGAGAAAAAUGCUAUCUUCAACAAGUGGGUAAUCAGAAAGAUCGUUAAUCCAACUGCACCCUUAGGAAUAUAUCAGAUGUGUUUGGGUGAUUUUUUUUUUUUUUUUUAGUUACUAGCUUUAUCAGCAGGAAGUGGUUGGGGAGGGGGUUCUGCUGAAGUGAUCCUCAUUGGGAUAUGAAUAUAUAUGAAAUAUAUAUGAAUAUGUAUGAAAUUAUAUAUUUAUAUAUCUAUGUAUGAAAUAUAUCUAUAUAUUGAUAUACCAAAUAUAUCAAAAUAUAUCGAUUGAUAAUAUCAAAUUGAUACAUCAAAUAUAUCAAAAUAUAUCAAUUGAUAUAUCAAAUUGAUACAUCAAAUAUAUCAAUAGAUAUAUUAAAAUAUACCUAUUGAUAUAUCAAAAUAUACCUAUAUAUUGAUAUAUCAUAUAUAUCAAUAUGCAUGAAUAUAUGAAUAUAUAAAUAUAUAUGUAAUUAUAUAUUUGUAUAUUAAUAUAGAAAAUAUAUGAAAUUAUAUAUUUAUAUAUUAAUAUAUAAAUAUAUAUACACACAUAUCUAAUCUUUAGUGAGG